UACGAAGGGUGCUAGCGUUGUUCGGAAUUACUGGGCGUAAAGCGCACGUAGGCGGAUAUUUAAGUCAGGGGUGAAAUCCCAGAGCUCAACUCUGGAACUGCCUUUGAUACUGGGUAUCUCGAGUAUGGAAGAGGUGAGUGGAAUUCCGAGUGUAGAGGUGAAAUUCGUAGAUAUUCGGAGGAACACCAGUGGCGAAGGCGGUUCUCUGGGACGGUACUGACGCUGAGACGCGAAAGCGUGGGGAGCGAACAGG
rnacentral:rRNA from 1 species